AAUUAAUCACUGAAAUUGGACGAACUGAAGCUGCUACCGCUGCUGUUUCUAUAACGUUGUCCACGUACGUCUUUCCUCGUACAAAUCGAAGAUGCUGUGUGAUGUUAUGAAGUUUGGUGAUAAAAUCCCGAGAAACCUGUUGUUUUUAAUACGGUGGAUCGGGACUUUUUACAAGGUUGUUGUUUUUGUUGUUAUGAUGGUUUGGUUUUGUCUGUAGUUGCUAUAGCUUAUCCUCUAGCUAGUGUUUUUAGAGUCAUGGCUAGAGGAAAGUGGUUUGUAAUCUUUGUUGUUUUUUACUUUCAGUUUGGUUUGUAAUUUUCUUUCAACUACUAUCUAUGAAAAUCCAGUGUUUGUUUAUCUAAUUAUUGUCUCCAUGUAUCACUUGACCAAAAG
rnacentral:sRNA from 1 species